UCAGUUCGUAAGCCUGACAAUGACAAUACCAAUGAUAAUGAUGAGGAAUUCAUCCCGCCCGAACGCAAGCGCCGGAGCAAUGCUGAUGAACAAAUACAUACUGAAUUUAUAAACGAAGACUUGAAUAUACUUAAUGUAGCGCUUUCUGAUGACGAAAACUUCCAGCCCGCAAAUAAUGACAUAAAUGACAUAAAUGAUGAGGAGUAUUGCCCGCAAAAACCUCUCGAUGAUGAUCUCCUUUCUGAAGAAGAAAAUGUUUGUAAGCC